UACCGGUAAUAACAUCUGGCGAGGAAGCAUCCUCGCGUGCGCGUAUAGCAUAAGCCCUAGCAGGAGCACGAGCCUCAGAUCUGGUCGUAGCAUCUCUAGAUCCUCUCUGACCACCACUAGCAUUGCCCGUAUUUCUAGAUGGUCUACCUCGAGCAGUGGUAGCACCCGGUUUCCCACUCUAAUUUACAUUCUGUUCAGACAACCUCGGGCAAUCUUUAAUGAAGUGGUCAACUGAUCCGCACUUGUAACAGGAGCGGUCAUGGAAUCUACAACUCCCCG
rnacentral:lncRNA from 1 species